UGUGGAAACACCGCUUCACACCCGAUCACCGAAGUUAAGCAACAUCGAGCCUGGUCAGUACCUAUAUGGGUGACCGCUUUAGAAUACCAGGUGCUGU